UACGUAGGGCGCAAGCGUUGUCCGGAAUUAUUGGGCGUAAAGAGCUCGUAGGCGGUCUGUCGCGUCGGAUGUGAAAACUCAGGGCUCAACCCUGAGCCUGCAGUCGAUACGGGCGGACUAGAGUAUGGCAGGGGAGACUGGAAUUCCUGGUGUAGCGGUGAAAUGCGCAGAUAUCAGGAGGAACACCGGUGGCGAAGGCGGGUCUCUGGGCCGAUACUGACGCUGAGGAGCGAAAGCGUGGGGGAGCGAACAGG
rnacentral:rRNA from 1 species